rnacentral:rRNA from 1 species
GAUGAACGCUGGCGGCGUGCCUAAUACAUGCAAGUCGAGCGAACAGACGAGGAGCUUGCUCCUCUGACGUUAGCGGCGGACGGGUGAGUAACACGUGGAUAACCUACCUAUAAGACUGGGAUAACUUCGGGAAACCGGAGCUAAUACCGGAUAAUAUAUUGAACCGCAUGGUUCAAUAGUGAAAGACGGUUUUGCUGUCACUUAUAGAUGGAUCCGCGCCGCAUUAGCUAGUUGGUAAGGUAACGGCUUACUAAGGCAACGAUGCGUAGCCGACCUGAGAGGGUGAUCGGCCACACUGGAACUGAGACACGGUCCAGACUCCUACGGGAGGCAGCAGUAGGGAAUCUUCCGCAAUGGGCGAAAGCCUGACGGAGCAACGCCGCGUGAGUGAUGAAGGUCUUCGGAUCGUAAAUCUCUGUUAUUAGGGAAGAACAAAUGUGUAAGUAACUAUGCACGUCUUGACGGUACCUAAUCAGAAAGCCACGGCUAACUACGUG